UUUUCUUCAAAAAAAUUUUAUAUUUUACACAAUCGAAUUUACCUAAGGUCAAGUUGGUUAUAAGAAACAAACUAGCAUGUUACAUGCAACGAAAUUUUUUUUUUAAAUUUCAGCCUUUGUGGACAUUGAAUAGAAUAGCAUAGAAUGCUACGCUGUUUGGCAGAAGUCGGAACUCGCUAAAAUACAGCGCGAAAAACUGAACUAAAUCACAGGGUCAACUGGCGAGCCGCAUUCAGUGCACACUAUAUAUUCAUAUACGAUAUAAUAUAUGUAAAUAUGUAUUUAUACCAGAUCAGCAUGCGGCGCGAUGCAUCUGCUGGUGAUUGAAGUAAUCACUGCUGCAAAAAGCUGCACAUGACUACUGCAUUCCUAUCAGGUGUUGAUAGUUUUGUUGUUGUAGUUGUUGGCAUGUAGUGUGGUGCAAUAACGCGUGCAACGUCAUCGUCGCGACUGGCCGUUGGCAACGAGUGAGUGGCAUGCGCRCAAACUUGCCGCUCAAUUGCAUCAAAUUGUCAAGUGCAAACACAACAACAAAAACACGUUGCAAAGCAAAAUAGACCCAAACAUAAGCUGUUGAAGAGUUGCAAAUUUACAACAAUAAAAAUCGACGACAACUAUCGCCGCUGUGGACACUAUCAUUUUGUUAGCGUGCUCUGAUUUUGUGAUUCCGAAGUGGUUUCUUUAUAUAUGCUGCACUUGAUUACUUCGAGUUGUGUAAAUGUAUAUAUGUGUGUGUGUAUUCUCAUUGAGAUUUUGCUUGCGGCAGCGGUUGCCUUUAAAGUUACUUGGCGCUGCAUAUGAAUUUAAAUAACMGUUGUUAGAACGGAAUUGGCUUUGAAGUUCUAGCAAAAAGAUUUUACUGUAAUUGAGAAUGAAACGAAAUUGGUAAAGGCAGACAAUCAAACCAAAUGAAAGGGAAAACAAGAAAAUAAUUAACUUCGGCUUGCACGGAAGCUAGAAUACCCGCUACAAUUAAGGAGAAAAACAGCAUUAAAAAAACAAAAAAAAUCUUAUUUAAAAAAGGAAAUAUAUCCAUUUUUUUAUUGU